rnacentral:rRNA from 1 species
CAAGCGUUAAUCGGAAUUACUGGGCGUAAAGCGUGCGCAGGCGGUUUUGUAAGACAGUGGUGAAAUCCCCGGGCUCAACCUGGGAACUGCCAUUGUGACUGCAAGGCUAGAGUGCGGCAGAGGGGGAUGGAAUUCCGCGUGUAGCAGUGAAAUGCGUACAUAUGCGGAGGAACACCGAUGGCGAAGGCAAUCCCCUGGGCCUGCACUGACGCUCAUGCACGAAAGCGUGGGGAGCAAACAGGAUUAGAUACCCUGGUAGUCAAGGGCG